UAACACAUGCAAGUACGAGCCGCACUCUUCGGACUGAGCGGCGGACGGGUUAGUAACGCGUGGGAACGUGCCCAGAUCUAAGGAAUAGCCACUGGAAACGGUGAGUAAUACCUUAUACGCCCUUCGGGGGAAAGAUUUAUCGGAUUUGGAUCGGCCCGCGUUAGAUUAGGUAGUUGGUGGGGUAAUGGCCUACCAAGCCUACGAUCUAUAGCUGGUUUUAGGGGAUGAUCAGCAACACUGGGACUGAGACACGGCCCAGACUCCUACGGGAGGCAGCAGUGGGGAAUCUUAGACAAUGGGCGCAAGCCUGAUCUAGCCAUGCCGCGUGAGUGAUGAAGGCCUUAGGGUCGUAAAGCUCUUUCGCCUGUGAUGAUAAUGACAGUAGCAGGUAAAGAAACCCCGGCUAACUCCGUGCCAGCAGCCGCGGUAAUACGGAGGGGGUUAGCGUUG
rnacentral:rRNA from 1 species